ensembl:lncRNA
CCAGUUUCCCAAUCAGUCACCUGGUCACCCAGUCUGUCACUCAGUCAGUCACCCAGUCACCCAGUCAGUCACCCAGUCACCCAGUCAGUCACCCAGUCAGUCACCCAGCUCACAGACUCAUAGAAUCAUAAGACUAUCCCGAGUUGGAAGGGACCCACAAGGAUCAUCAAGUCCAACUUCUGGGUCCCCCAAAGGACCACCCAGAAAAUCAGACCAUGUGUCUGAGAGCAUUGUCCAAAUGCUUCUUGAACUCAUGGAGCAGCCUUCUUAUUUUCCAGCGUCAUUCAGUUUUGCCAUACAGCUUGGUUCUUUCCCUGACACCCAAAUUGCUUUUUUUUUUUUUUUUUAUCUGUGCAGAGAUUUUCCCAUCUGGCUUAACAUCACCUUGCUGGGGAAGCAAUGCCAGCAAGUGUGAAUUUCCCCUCCUAGCCAAAUGCAAUGUGCUGUUUUCAAGAGCUGUGCUGAAGCAUGAAAGUGACCUGCGCUCAACUUCCAUCCCCUCUGUCACCUCCUGUGCUAGUCAGGGGUGAUACCACUCGGAUCUGACACAAGGAGAGAAAAGAGCAACGUAACCAUGGAGGAGUGGUGUGCCUUCUUCUUGGUGUUGUGAACACAAAGGGGUGUCCUCUCCUCCUCAGCUCACUGUGGACAAGCGGGAAACGAAUACCUGUCAGUGCCGAUCUCGCAGAGGUGCCCGUGCCUCGCUCCGACAGGAGGACGUUUUGGUGGCCGGCACGGUCAGGGCAUCUCUGCGGUCUCUUCUUUGCGCCGUUAGGUUGACAGAGUUGCAGCGUGUGCCACAUCCCUGCAGCGCCCAGUGUCUCAAUCCACCACAAAACCACAUACAGCAUGUCAUCCAGAGCCAGCUGCUGCCAGCCUGGGGACCCAGGGGAAAUCCGCAGCCUCGUGCCUGCGGAUCCUCCCCAGCUCACAGGAAACCCCUAAGAAAAGGGCCACAGCACCCACAGAGUGACGCUGCCCACCGGCUCCAAAAUGUGUACGGGCACUGGCAGCUGGGGAACCUCUCGCCACAGGGUGCAUCUAUUCACCACCAUUUUGAACGGCUGUGGGAUGAAGAAGCUCUUGGAGACGCAAGGGAUGGAAUCGGACGCGAGGAGGGAAGUGCGACGCACGUGCAGAUGAGGAGGCGGACAAGAAAGCAGACUCCCCUUUUUAACGUCGUUAUUUUGACGCAUUUCAAAACUCAACACAUUCUGUGUUAUCUCGCAGCAGAUCAGAUGUAAAUGCUUGUUGGUAUUUAUAUGCCCUGUGGUUUUAUUUCAUUUAAUAGCAUUUUCACCUUGAAGGAGGUUCAUUAAACUUGAUUUGCCGCAGUUUGCAACCCAGUAGAUAAUCUGCCGGCUGUUGGCACCGUAAUACGGUGAUGGUUUGUAUGCCAUUAAAAUGGCCCAGAAGUGUCCAUCUAUAGAUCCUCAACGCAAUACAUUGUGUCAGUGUACAGUAUAGAUCCUUUAAUCCAUAGACUAUUAUUAAAAUAGUGGAUUAAGGAGUUGUUUGGGAUCAGACCCUGCUGUAUAUGUAACAAAACAGUUUAGCUGAGAUUAGUAUUUAUUACUGGACAGAAAAAUUGAUUGAAGCAUUCGUAGACGCUGAUAAUAUCACAGCCUGGCAGACAUUAAUGUAUUUGAUUAUUGUUGUGGUUUUUUUUUGCCAUACGAGUCCUUGUUAAGGCCUGAGAAUAAAAUAGUAACUUUUAGUGAAAAUGUAAAAAAC